AAAUUGAAGAGUUUGAUCAUGGCUCAGAUUGAACGCUGGCGGCAGGCCUAACACAUGCAAGUCGAGCGGAAACGAGUUAACUGAACCUUCGGGGAACGUUAACGGCGUCGAGCGGCGGACGGGUGAGUAAUGCCUGGGAAAUUGCCCUGAUGUGGGGGAUAACCAUUGGAAACGAUGGCUAAUACCGCAUAAUAGCCCGGUUCUUCGGAAUUGGUCUCAAAGAGGGGGACCUUUUAGGCCUCUCGCGUCAGGAUAUGCCCAGGUGGGAUUAGCUAGUUGGUGAGGUAAUGGCUCACCAAGGCGACGAUCCCUAGCUGGUCUGAGAGGAUGAUCAGCCACACUGGAACUGAGACACGGUCCAGACUCCUACGGGAGGCAGCAGUGGGGAAUAUUGCACAAUGGGCGCAAGCCUGAUGCAGCCAUGCCGCGUGUAUGAAGAAGGCCUUCGGGUUGUAAAGUACUUUCAGCAGUGAGGAAGGUGGGUAUGUUAAUAGCAUACACA
rnacentral:rRNA from 1 species